AAGGCUUUCGGGUUGUAAACUNCUUUUGUACGGNACGAAAAGGNUCUGGCUAAUNCNNGGGGCNCNUGACGGUACCGUAAGANUAAGCNCCGGCUAACUACGUGCCAGCAGCCGCGGUAAUACGUAGGGNGCGAGCGUUAUUCGGAAUUACUGGGCGUAAAGCGUGCGCAGGCGGUGCUGUAAGUCUGAUGUGAAANCCCCGGGCUCAACCUGGGAAUUGCAUUGGAAACUGCNGUGCUGGAGUGCGGCAGAGGAAGGANGGAAUUCCGCGUGUAGCAGUGAAAUGCGUAGAUAUGCGGAGGAACACCGAUGGCGAAGGCGAUCCUCUGGGCCUGCACUGACGCUCAGGCACGAAAGCGUGGGGGAGCAAACAGGAUUAGAUA
rnacentral:rRNA from 1 species